ensembl:misc_RNA Metazoa_SRP Metazoan signal recognition particle RNA
GCCGGGUGCGGUGGCUCACGCCUGUAAUCCCAGCACUUUGGGAGGCAGAGGUGGGUGGAUCACCUGAGGUCAGGAGCUCGAGACCAGCCUGACCAACAUGGAGAAACCCCAUCUCUA